rnacentral:lncRNA from 1 species
GGAGUUUUGCAAGCCCCAGGGAGUGCAGAAUUUCCUGAAGAUGUUGCACAGGGGCUGGCUUUUGCUGAAGUCGUACAGUAUUCUCCUUUGCUUUGGUUAUGACUGCAGAGGUGCUGGGAAGCCGACUGGAGAGCAGCACCAUGGAGCGGCCGGCUCCUCUCCGUGGGAGGCGACGCCCGCUCUUUGAGAGGGAAGGGCUCGGCUCUGCUGCCUUGGGCUAAAAGCACUGUGAUCCAGUUCCACCUCCUGGCUCCUUCAUUGGUAGUUGGUUUUCCAAAAUGCAAGGAUUUUUGCUGACCGACAGGGACCUGAAGGCUUGAAAAUUUAGACAGCAGAGAGCUAGGUGGCUGAGAUUUUACAAAAGUCCACAUUUUGCUAGUUUAAUCUGGAAAAGGACACACAACCCAAAGAAUAGGAGCCUUGUUGCAGAAGAACCAAUUUCAUUCAUCAGGGUAUUUUACCAGUAGUCGCGCUGGGCACCUGGCUAUGCAGUCACCGCCCCGUGCUUCUCAGCUCCAGGCGGAGCUGCAGCGGGAGGAGAGCCUGGACGUGCUGCCAGCCCGGGAGCCGGGCCCAACUCGCUCAGGCCUUUCUAGACCCAUUUCAGCGGUUGUUCCUACCCACUCAGUGGCCUGAGCAGUGGGAGCUGCAGACCCGUCUUGAGUGCGCUGUGGGGACAGCUGGACAGGCACAGAGGGCACCUGCAUGCCCUUAGACCAGCCUGUGACCUCAGGAUGAGUCGCAGUAAACUCAGGAGCUGGAGCAGGGUCACAGCCUUCUCCGCACGGCUUGCUUUUCCUUCUCAGUCCCUUCAGGACCUGGGAAGCGCUGAAGAUCGGACCUGGCCUCCUCUGCGUGUUCAUGGCGGACUGCACAGGACUCCCCAGACCAGCCUCCACACCAGACCUACUGAGUGAGCUCCCUUGUGGUUGCAGGAGGGCGCAGUGACCACAUGGCCAAGAGCAGAGUCUGUGCUGGGAGAGUGAUGGAGGCUGGGGUCCUGACCAGCAGCCGACCGAGGCUCCUGCAGGGCUGGCUGGUUCUCACUGGGGAAGGUUCCGGGAGCGAGGCCCCGAGCAGCAGGAGUGGCUCCAGUGGCGGCAGCACGUCAGCAGAGCCUGCCGACCAGCAUCCCUGGAGCGCGACAGCGACACCAGCCAGGUCUUCAGUGCAGCAGUGGCACGAGCUGCCGGCAGGAGCUCUGCCGUCGCUUUAGUUUUGAUGCAGGUGCCGUCGUGUUUCCUUUUACGGAUAAAAGGUUCCGCUCGGAAGUCAGUGGUGGUGCCACCGACGUGGGUUCCCGGUACAGGGAGUUUGAGGACAUCCUCUUCUUUCGUCCGCAGGACAUCAGGUAUUCUGGCUGUUUUGCAAGCUGCCUUUUAAGCUGUGACGGGAGAAGAGGACAAGGCCGUGGGGCCCCUCUGGGCAGUGAGUGGCGAGGGCUCUGCGAAUCUCACGUGCAGUUUUUCCACGAGGAGGAUUUGUCCUCUACCUCAUUUAUUUUUCAGCCACUUACAUCAGUAUGUUUCUUUCUUUUAUAUUUUGCGUCAUAAUUCAGUAUUAUAUUGUUAUUUUGUUGCUGAAAUUGUCCUAGGAUUGGCCACUGGGAAGUUUCAGGUAGGUUGCUGUGUCCCUUUGACAGUCUAUUUUGUUUUGAAGCACCUGCUCACUUUCUGGUACCAUAAGAUGCUCCAGGCUUAACUUGUAUUUCCUCUACCCCAACCUUAGAACUAGCCAGUUCCCCAAGAUGCUCUGGUUCCUUUUAUGACAUUUGGUUCCUUUUUUUCGCCUUUUUUUUUUUUAGGGCCGCACCCAUGGCAUAUGGAAGUUCCGGGGGCUAGGGGUCAAAUUGGAGUUGCAGCUACCAGCCUACACUACAGCCACAGCGACGUGGGAUUCAAAUAUAACAUAGUGAUUCAGUAUUUUUAUCGAUUAAUUAUAGUCCAUUUAAAGUUACUGUGAAGUAACGGCUGUAUUUCCCUGUGCUGUGCAGUAUACACUGUAGCUUAUUGACUUUGUACAUGGCGAUAGUUUGUGCCUCUCCGUCCUCUCCCCUUCCCUCGCCCCCCCCCUGCCUCCCCUCUUCCCACUGGCAACCAGUAGUUUCUUCUCUUAAUCUGUGAGGCUGUUUCUCUUUUGUUACACGCAUUUGCUUGUUUUACUUUUUAGAUUCCACAUAUAAGUGUUAACAUACAAUAUUUGUCCUCGUCUGAUUUAUUUCACCAAGCAUAAUACUCUCUAGGUGCACCCAUACUGUUGCAAAUUGCAGAAUUUCGGUCUGUCUUAUGGCUGAGUAAUAUUCCACUUUGUACGUAUACCACAUCUUCUUUAUCCAUUCGAUGGACACUUAGGUUGCUUCCAUAUCUUGACUAUUGCAAAUAAUGCUGCUGUGAACACUGAGGUGCAUGUACUUUUUCAAAUUAGUGUUUUCACUCUCUUUGGAUAUAUAUGCAAGAGUGGAAUUGCUGGAUCAUAUGGUAAUUCUAGUUUUAAUUUUUUGAGGAACCUCCCUACUGUGUUCCAUGGUGCCUGGAAACAAUUUACAUUAUCGCCAACAGUGUGCUAGGGUCCCCUUUUCUCUAUAUCCUCGCCAGCAUUUGUUUUUGUAGAGUUUUUGAUGAUAGCCAUUCAGUCAGGUGUGAGGUGGUAUCUUGUGGUUUUGAUUUGUAUUUCUCUCACGAUUAGCAUGUGCCUGUUGGCCAUCUGUAUCUCUUCUCUGUAAAACUGUCUCUUCAGAUUCUCUGCCCAUUUUUAUUUAUUUAUUUUUUUUUGGUCUUUUUUUGUCUUUUCUUGGGCUGCUCCCAAGACAUGUGGAGGUUCCCAGGCUAGGCGUCGACUCGGAGCUGUAGUCACCAGCCUACGCCACAGCUGCAGCCACUCGGGAUCUGAGCUGCGUCUGCGACCUACACCACAGCUCGCAGUAACGCCGGAUCCUUAACCCACUGAGCAAGGCCAGGGAUCGAACCCACAACCUCAUGGUUCCUAGUCGGAUUCGUUAACCACUGUGCCACGACGGGAACUCCUUGAUGUCGUUUUUGAUCUUUGUUGUAGAUAUUAACUAUCAGAUAGAUGAUUUGCAAAUAUUUUCUCCCAUUCAGUAAGUUGUAUUUUUAUCAUUUGUUGAUGGUUUCUUUUGCUGUGCUAUAAAGCUUUUAAUUAGGUCCCAUUUGUUUUUUCUUUUGUUUCCUUUGCCUUAGGAGACAGAUCCAAA